UACGUAGGUGGCAAGCGUUGUCCGGAUUUACUGGGCGUAAAGAGCGCGCAGGCGGUCGUUCAAGUCGCGUGUGAAGGCCCCCGGCUCAACUGGGGAGGGUCACGCGAUACUGAUCGACUCGAAGGCAGGAGAGGGAAGUGGAAUUCCCAGUGUAGAGGUGAAAUUCGUAGAUAUUGGGAAGAACACCGGUGGCGAAGGCGGCGAGCUGGUCCAUUACUGACGCUGAGGCGCGACAGCGUGGGGAGCAAACAGG
rnacentral:rRNA from 1 species